UCUUCAUUUCACACACUCUCUCGUAGACCGACCGGGCGAGAGAGUGUGCAAAAUGAAGAGA
rnacentral:pre_miRNA from 1 species